rnacentral:lncRNA from 1 species
UCCACUAAUUAUUAUAUAUAAAAUUAAAUAUUAAGUUUGGUUCUGGUUCUAGUUUUUGAACUAGAACUGAACUUGAACCAAAACCAAAUGGUUCUCGGUUCAAAGAACCAAAAUCAUUAAUUUUUUUGAUAGAACCGAACCGAACCGCUUGGUUUGGACUGGUUUGGACAUUUUAUCCACCCCCAAGUUUAGGUGAAAUUCUUAAGAAUAAAUGCAGAUCUCAACAAAUGAGAAGUUUCUUGCCAAUUUCAAGGAGAAAAACAUUAGAAGAUAGCUCUAUCACAUAUAAAGAGAGAACUAUGAGAAAUGUUGCAGAGACAAUUGGUAUGAUUCAUAGUUAUGCUUGUGCAAUUUAGUUUUGGUAAAUCCCAUGCCUUAUUGGGAGCUUGUUAAUAUAGCCAUAGUUCUCUACAACGGCAUCAGUCCUCAUGGUCCAACAAUAUCAGGAAAAGGUAUCUACAGAUUCGACUAUAGAGACACUAGAUGAGACACCAAAUAGACGUAGGAUCCAUUGACAGAAUCCUUUUUCAAAUUUUAGAAAUAGUUUAUUGUUGAAAAUAGAACUUAAAUCAUUGUUUCCAGAGUCUAAGUUUAAUUAUGUUCUUGUAAGCAUCUAAUAAUAACUUGGGAUAUCUUGAUUUUUCCUUCUCAGAAUAUUCUAUUACUCAUUAUCUUUUAUCUACCUAAUUCAUCUACAUAUCAAAUUGGAGAUUUCAUAACUCAAUAUGUAUCUAUAUAGUUAUUGUUGUUAUUAUAUUGCUUAACUGCCCAUUCUUCCCAUUCAUCAUUUGGUUUCGCUGAAAAGAUGGUUCUUACUCUCUUCAACUUCAGUUAUGCUGUGUAGUAUAAGAUGAGAUGAACUGUGCGAAUUCCACACUCCUAAGUAAGCAGAUAGUUUCACCUAGAUUAUCAAGUGCUCAACGUUUCAAUUGUUGCCUUUUUUUUUCCG